GCUGCUGCUGCUGCUAAGUCACUUCAGUCGUGUCUGACUCUGUGCGACCCCAUAGAUGGCAGCCCACCAGGCUCCUCCUUCCCUGGGAUUCUCCAGUACAGGGGCAGAAACCUGGCCAGGGCAGGCCAUGGAGGCAGGAUUCAGUGGACGACUCAAACCCAGAGUCCUUCAUGAAUGGCUCUCUAGCCAUUCUCCACUCAGGAGCAUCUCCCAGGGAGAGUCCAGGUUAUAUUUAAGAAGACAGCAGAGGAAGAGGGAGAAGACUGCAAAUCAAGAGGCUUCUGAAAGAAAGGAGCUGCAAGGAAGACUGAGCACAGCCUCAGCAUCUUUUAGUUGUGGCCUGUUCCAUAAAAUCUUCUGUAUGACUCCACCUUUUCUUCUCCCACAUUCCAGGGGAUGAUAACAUACAGGGUAACCGUGGAAGCGCUGCAAGCCUUGUGUAGAAGAUGCUGGAGCCUUUGUCCCUCUGGGUCCCUGCCUGACUACAUGGAAUAGAAUUCUCUCCUGGCAGCCACUGGACUUCAUGUCUCGCCGGCUCUCCAGGAGGAAGAUUGCAUCAUUCUCAGCACAAGACUACCCGGAGCUUUGGGUGCCCUGUAACUGCCCACGUCCUUUCCUCUCCCUUCAACCGAGGAGGGUGACAGAUUGCUGGCUGAGAGCACCACGGCGUCUGCUGCCUAAUGACUGCUAUAAAUUCUGAUAAUCACAAUAGCUAUCAUAAAUAAUAUAAAACAAUAGCGCUGCAGCAGCUGAGACUCUUGCUGCUCAGAUGCUUGUUUAAAGAAUUUUUAAACACUCCUGAGGAGACUUGUAAGAAUUUGGGGUCAAGGGACGCUGCUUGGGCACAAGGUCUUGGCCAGUGGCAACGAGCCUGUUGUUUCUUCAAGGGCAGAUGGAAAGACAGGGACAGCAGUCUGUCCUGGAGAGUCCCCUAGCCUACAUCAGAAGUGUAUGAGUGAGAAGUGAAGGCUUUGUUAGGCCACUGAGAUUUGGGGGUUUUGUUUGUUUCAUUGGUGUAGCAUAACUUAUCCUGACUAGUAUCAUUACUCACAUCUCCACUAUUAAUUUUUCUCACUGGAGAUGCCUUGGGCAAGUUAACUCUAGUCCAAAACAUCUGUCAUCCAUUCUGCUUUUAUGAAGAUAUGUGUGUUUGAAAACAUCUUACAGUCAUAUAGUGAGUGACUUUUAGAAGUCUCUGGAUAAUUGUGUAAGUUCUAAAUUCCAAAUGGGAGAUGGUUGCAGUGAAAAAGUUAAUUAAGCAGUUGUCCAACUCCCAUCCAAAGUGUAUUCUUGUGAGUUCUAUGGAAAAUUUGACAUAAGAAAAAUCAUCUCCCUCACGUUUCAGGAAUAAAG
ensembl:lncRNA